UACGGAGGAUGCGAGCGUUAUCCGGAUUUAUUGGGUUUAAAGGGUGCGUAGGCGGGCAUUUAAGCCGGCGGUCAAAUGUCGGGGCUCAACCCCGGCGAGCCGUUGAAACUGCCGUGCUAGAGAGGAAGAGAAGUAGGCGGAAUGCGCAGUGUAGCGGUGAAAUGCUUAGAUAUUGCGCAGAACUCCGAUUGCGAAGGCAGCCUACCGGCUUCUGUCUGACGCUGAGGCACGAAAGCGUGGGUAUCGAACAGG
rnacentral:rRNA from 1 species